GGGCCCGCACAAGCGGUGGAGCAUGUGGUUCAAUUCGAUGCAGAGCGAAGAACCUUACCUGGGCUUGACAUGCAGGAAGUAGGAACCGGAAACGGGGACGACCUGUUGAGUCAGGAGCCUGCACAGGUGGUGCAUGGCUGUCGUCAGCUCGUGCCGUGAGGUGUUGGGUUAAGUCCCGCAACGAGCGCAACCCUCACCCUAUGUUGCCAUCGGGUCAUGCCGGGCACUCUUAGGGAACUGCCGGCGAAGAGCUGGAGGAAGGGGGGGAUGACGUCAAGUCCGUAUGCCCCUUAUGCCCAGGGCUACACACAUGCUACAAUGGCCGGCACAGAGGGUUCCCAACCCGCGAGGGGGAGGCAAUCCCACAAAGCCGGUCUCAGUUCGGAUUGCAGGCUGCAACUCGCCUGCAUGAAGUCGGAAUCGCUAGUAAGCGCAGAUCAGCAGGCUGCGCUGAAUACGUUCCCGGGCCUU
rnacentral:rRNA from 1 species